rnacentral:rRNA from 1 species
UUGAACGCUGGCGGCAUGCCUUACACAUGCCAGUCGAACGGUAACAGGUCUUCGGAUGCUGACGAGUGGCGAACGGGUGAGUAAUACAUCGGAACGUGCCCAGACGUGGGGGAUAACGAGGCGAAAGCUUUGCUAAUACCGCAUACGAUCUAAGGAUGAAAGCAGGGGACCGCAAGGCCUUGCGCGUUUGGAGCGGCCGAUGGCAGAUUAGGUAGUUGGUGGGAUAAAAGCUUACCAAGCCGACGAUCUGUAGCUGGUCUGAGAGGACGACCAGCCACACUGGGACUGAGACACGGCCCAGACUCCUACGGGAGGCAGCAGUGGGGAAUUUUGGACAAUGGGCGAAAGCCUGAUCCAGCAAUGCCGCGUGCAGGAUGAAGGCCUUCGGGUUGUAAACUGCUUUUGUACGGAACGAAAAGGCUCUGGCUAAUACCUGGGGCACAUGACGGUACCGUAAGAAUAAGCACCGGCUAACUACGUG